rnacentral:rRNA from 1 species
GUGUAGGCGGUCGUGCAAGUCGGGUGUGAAAUUCCUCGGCUCAACUGAGGAAGUGCAUCCGAAACUGCUCGACUUGAGUAUGGGAGAGGAAGGCGGAAUUCCCGGUGUAGCGGUGACAUGCGUAGAUAUCGGGAGGAACACCGGUGGCGAAGGCGGCCUUCUGGCCCAAUACUGACGCUGAGACCCGAAAGCGUGGGGAGCAAACA